rnacentral:rRNA from 1 species
AUUGAACGCUGGCGGAAUGCUUUACACAUGCAAGUCGAACGGCAGCACGGGGCAACCUGGUGGCGAGUGGCGAACGGGUGAGUAAUACAUCGGAACGUGCCCAAUCGUGGGGGAUAACGUAGCGAAAGUUACGCUAAUACCGCAUACGAUCUACGGAUGAAAGCGGGGGAUCGCAAGACCUCGCGCGAGUGGAGCGGCCGAUGUCAGAUUAGGUAGUUGGUGGGGUAAAGGCUCACCAAGCCAACGAUCUGUAGCUGGUCUGAGAGGACGACCAGCCACACUGGAGCUGAGACACGGUCCAGACUCCUACGGGAGGCAGCAGUGGGGAAUUUUGGACAAUGGGCGCAAGCCUGAUCCAGCCAUUCCGCGUGCAGGAUGAAGGCCUUCGGGUUGUAACUAGCUUUUGUUACUAGAACGAACGGACGAGCUCUAAUACAGUUGUCUAAUGACGGUACCGUAAGAAUAAG